AUUUUUCAGUAUGUUUUAUCGUUUUUAUACAUUAAAAUUGCACAACUUGGAGUUCAAAAAUUUUGUUAGUACUAUCAAUUUUAAGAUACCUCAUCAUGAUACUUUGUCUUUAUGUAAACCUUAAAGGACAGAUUUUUUUUUGAUACUGACAGAAGAACAAGGGAGUCUGACACUAACCAGCCCCUCCUGUGGGGUCAACAUUUUUGUUACUUUAGUAUACAUCAUGUCAAUUGUUUGUCUUUAUAACAAACUUUGGAGUCAUGUAGUAAUAUUUUUAGAAAUUAGAAAAUCCAGGCACAAAGGUUAAUUGGCAAUUAACUUUUGCAAAGCCUGUGGCACUCAUCUGAAGAGAUGACGAUCACUUCUUAUUUAGUGGAAAGACAAUAAAUAGUUGAUAAAUAAUAGUCUUCCAUCAGGAAGUUUUGUAAUGAGAAACCCUAACUCCUCAGUUCCCCAGUGGAUGACUGCAAUUCACCCUAGGUCUUUGCUAUUUUGUUACCUGCUUAUCCAUUUUGUUACCUUUUAAUGCAUUACAUAAAGGCAUAUUCUUUAAUAAUGGUGCUUUUCUCACAUCUAUGCCAUCCAUGUUCAUCAAGAUCUUUUUACAGUUUCUUUGACAACUAAAACUGUACGUAUGUAUUGUGUAUUUCUACUGCACAGCGUUGCUUUACAGAAUGUGAUAAAAACUAUGGACUCUCCCAGGAAAAUGCACAUACACCGUACCCCUGUCUCAUAAGGCAGUUUAUAAUUUCAAAGUGCAUGGAGCCCGUCCUGCACACCGUUCUCCCACACUCCGCUCCAGCGCCUCUCCCUGAGUUACAGACCUCGCUGUGGGCCCCCGGGGAACCAGCGCAGAGGUUUAAGCAGUGUGGCAUCAACUCCAAGGG
rnacentral:antisense_RNA from 1 species